rnacentral:lncRNA from 1 species
AGAGGUUUUCCGAGUUUUAAAGGCUGUCCAAUCCGGCGGCCCAGGGCAAGUGUGCAAGGCAUCGGAACUGCCCUCCUCGAGGUAGAAGGUCAGGAAGCCCCUCCCUCUGGCCCCCGCUGUCUUGCUGUAAAACGCCGGGAAAUCUGUAAAGAGCGGGCGGGCUGAACCCAGAGCAUUUUUCCCCUCUCUAAUUGGGCGGUUCCAAACUUCACCACAGGGGGUACUAAAUUGUCCCGGGCUCUUUUAUUCGAGUCCACACGAGCAGGAAGCGCACUGUGGUUCUGCAGCUGCGAUAAGUUCCGUGUUGGAUUCACAAACUGGAGCCUGUUGUCUUGGGGUUGGGGGAAGUUAAAAAAAAAACCUCAGCUCUCCGAAGUGUCCGCAGCAAGGAGGCCUCUGGUGCUGCUUUGGAGCCGCAGUGCAUGGGCACCUCGAACUGCACCGCUACGUGUCCCCACGUUUCCAGCUCAGAGGAAGCUUGGUUAGGGACAGUGUCCAUCCACAAAGAGAUCCUGCACACAGGCGGAUAAUCCACGCAAAACCCCGGUGAGGAGAUUAGAUUAGAUACAUUAGAUCUGAUGGCUUAGAAUGCGGGCUGCCUGCCGAGAAGGCAACCAGGGCUGUGAGUUCCUUUCUCAACUUGGGUUAAAUCUUCUGUCCCUACAGCCUGGCCCUGAGGGUGAAGUCACCGGGAAACGGAGGGUUCUCGGCCAGCAAUAAGGUGCCCACGGGUAUCAGGUAAACCCCGGUGCUCUAAAGCACAACGUUGGUUCUGAGUGUCGUUCGGCCCCUUUAGGGGACAGAGCAUUUUCACUGUCGAUACCUGGUUGGACCUUUAGAGCCGCUGAUAACGUGAGGGUUGCAGGGCAGGCAGCUGCAUCUCCUUAAACUCACCAAUAGCUGCCUCCCUUGUUGCUUGCUGAUGAAAGUCCAGAUUUUUCCUGAUAGUGGAUGGCGGUGUGUUCGUGGAAGGUGGGCUUAGCCCCAGGAGAUGAUUCAUAAUUGCUCUAAGCCAAUCAUGAUAGAAGCAUUACUUCUUUUUUUAAAAAAUUGAGGUGGUAUAGUUGCUUUACAAUGUUGUAUUAGUUUCAGGUGUACAGCAAAGCAAUGCAGUUAUACCUAUAUGUAUUCCUUUUUAGAUUCUUUUCCAUUAUAGUGUAUUAUAAGAUACUGAAUAUAGUUCUCAGGAGGUUCUUGUUUAUCUAUUUUAUACAUAGUAGUGUGUAUCUGUUAAUCCCAACCUCCUAAUUCAUCCCUCCCCCCACCCUUCCCCUUUGGCCUGUGAAUCUAUUUUGUUUCAUAAAUGAGUUCAUUUGUAUCAUAUUUUUAAAUGUCACAUAUAAGUGAUACCAUGAUAUUUGUCUUUCUCUGACUUCACUUAGUAUGAUAAUCUCUAGGGUUCAUCUCUGUUGCUGCAAAUGGCAUUAUUUCAUUCUUUUUAAUGGCUGCGUAAUAUUCCAUGGCGUGUGUGUAUAUGUGUGUGUGU